GGGAACGGGAAAAAAAUACACCAUAGAAUAAUGUGUAAAAUGUAUUUAUAAUGUUAUAUUACCUUAUUAAUAUAGGAGCGCAGAAGAUAAUUCCUCUAGUAAAUGUUUUUAUAAAAGCAUAUAACGAAGGAACUAUUGCUACUUGUCAUAAUACACCAGGCUUAUUUUGUAAUGGUUACGCAAGGAAUGAAUUAAAUUAUUUAUUGACGAAUUGAUGGAAAUUAAGAAGAAGUAUCUAUUUGUUUAGUAUGCUGUACUUAUAUAACUUAUAUAGAAUACAAUAAAAUUAUUGUAAAAUAAUACAUUCACAAAUAUGUUUUUUUAGCACUUUACAAUAUAUUAAUUACUAUAUCAAGCACUCAUAACCAGAAAGUUUCAAUGUGGAAAAAAUAUGCUUUAAUAAAUUAGACGAU